AUUUAGAUAGCUUAUAUAGAGCAUGAUAUUGAAGAUAUCAAGGAAAUGUUUUAAUUUCUAAAUA
rnacentral:tRNA from 1 species